rnacentral:rRNA from 1 species
AUGCUUGCGAUGGCUGAUGAUAUCAAGUUCCUCCUUUUGGUUUUACUCUUGAGCUGCUCAACGUUGUGUUUUGGUUCUGAAGCUGAUAUCCAGUGUCUGAAGUCUGUGCAACAAUCAGUGAAUGAUCCCAACGGUGUACUCAAAUCCUCAUGGAUCUUUAAAAAUGCCACCGAAGGUUACAUCUGCCUCUUUACUGGUGUGGAAUGUUGGCACCCCGACGAGAAUAGGAUUUUCUCUCUGCGUUUGGGCAACCUUGGACUUCAAGGUUCAUUUCCUCGUGGUCUACAGAACUGUUCAAGCGUGACAGGCAUGGACCUGUCAAAUAACAAUUUGUCAGGACCAAUCCCUCAGGAAAUUUCACGGGAGAUGCCGUAUCUGACAUUUCUCGAUCUUUCGUACAAUAGCUUUUCGGGUUCAAUCCCACAGAAUAUCUCAAAUAUGACAUAUCUGAAUCUCCUCAAUCUCCAGCAUAACCAACUUAGCGGUCAAAUUCCACCGCAAUUCGAUUUGCUUACUCGGUUAAUCGCAUUCAAUGUAGCGGAGAACUUGUUAUCAGGGCCUAUUCCUCCUUUGCUACAGAACUUUCCGGCUUCGAACUUUGCUGGUAACCAAAGGCUUUGUGGUGCACCAUUGCAUGAUUGUACCCCCUCGAGGAGGAGAUGGAGGCCGGUACGAAUCAAGCUGCACAGGCUCAACGACCAGUCGAGCAUCGGAGUGGCCGUCGGAUUCGUCAUGGGGUUUUUGGUGGCCUUCUACUUCCCGCGCUGCUUCGUCUGUUCCGUGAGGCUCCGAGCCUACGUCGUCCGCAUAUGA